ACCGAAUUAGUCGAACCGAAUCAGCCGCUUUGGUUCGAUUAUUGAGGGUCGGUUAUCGGUUUCGAUUAUGCUUGGCCAAAUCUUGAUUACUAAAAAAGCGAUUCGAUCUUCCUUGUUCGGUUAAUCGAAUAAAUCGAACCGAUUGUUAAUCAAAACAACAUCAUCUUGUAUAUGAUAAAAUGACAUCGUUUUAUGCUAAUAAUCGAAUGCCGUGGAGAACAAGGGCUACCAGCUACGCAUCCAAACCAAAUCCAAUCCAUUGUAUUUGUGUUAUGUUCGAGAGUCUUCAAUUCGAAUGUAACGAGAGAGAGAAGGGGGGGGGGGGGGGGGAGAACCCUAGUACCCAACCGUUGCCGUCGCUUCCUUCCGGUGCUUCCUUCUUCGCCGUCACCUUUCAUCGCCUUUCCCUUUGCCGUCAAACGUUAACAGAGGUGAGUUUGAAGGUGAGUUUGAAUCUUUAGCAUUUGAGGGAGAGAGAAACCCUAAUCCAUCUCAAUCCUAAUCGAAACUGAGAGAAGUCUUACUGUCCAUCAAUUUGUCACCGUCGGUUAACUCCUUGCCUCAUUCCAUUCUACUCAUAACCAAAAUCCUAAACCUAAAGCCUAGUCGUUUAUCAUCGAGCGUCAGUUAGUUUGAUUAUUUUCUUUCCACAAUAUCGACCCACACCACACCAAGUCACCGACGUUCAACCCAUUCAGCCACUCCUACAACCAACAGAGAAAAUGAUGGUCCUGAGGAACUAGAAGAAGGUGAAUGGAUUCCAAAUGAAGACCAUGAAGUAAAUGAUCUAAGUGGAAGUGUUUCAGAUGAAGGUAAUUACAAAAUGAUGAUACUUCUCCUAAAAUGGAAUGAAUUUGCUUCUUACUUUGCAAAAUUUUGUCUAUGUGGAGCAUGGUCCACUUUUUGUGUGGCUCAGUGUCAUAGGGCGGGACUUAACCAAUAUCAAUGCUAUGCACUUCAUGAUUGAUUUUGCUGCAUGAACAGUGAAAAUUUUCAGCAUGCCUGGGUGUUGGACAAGCUCAAGGCUGAGCUGAGCGCAAACGUGGUAUCACCAUUAACAUUGCCUUGUGGAAGCUAGUUUGAGAUUACCAAUUACUAUUGCUGCUGCAACAAGAUGGAUGCGACAACUCCGAAGAAUUCCAAGGCAAGGUAUGAUGAAACAGCAAACUUGGGAGUUAUAAUAUCAUGUUUUAUGUUUAUAUGUUUAUGUUCUUUUACAUUUUUAUGUCAAACCCAUGUCUCCAAUCACUUGUACAUUGAUUUGAAUAUUUCCUUAUUAGUUAUAAUAUUUUUUACUUUUCUC